CUUCCUGUCUAUGUAACCACACCACCAACUUUGCAGUGCUGAUGAAUUACCUGGAGUCGAAGUGGAGUCCUGAGGAGCAGCUUAUUUUGACCAAGCUGACGUUCAUCGGCUCUGGUGCGUCUCUGUGUGCAUUGGUGGUGACCUUGAUGCUGUUCACUGUGCUAGAUAUCCCCAAAUCUGACAGGACGUCCAUCCAUAAGAACCUGUUCAUUGCUCUGAUCUGCGCCCAGGUGAUUCUGCUCUGCAGCGGCUCAGCCAUUCACAA
rnacentral:lncRNA from 1 species